UGUUAUUAUACCACCACCAGACUGCAGGAGGCUGCGGCAACACAGAUCGCGUGCUUUUUUUCUAAACGGAUAAACAGACAGAUGAAAUAAUAACAUAAUAACAACAGACGAGUAGCUGUUAUAAUCACCGUCCGAAAGGACCAUUCCAUCUUUCCUGUCCUGUCUGUCUCUCUCUCUCUCUCUCUCUCCUUCCCUUCCUUUCUGUCUCUCUUCCCCUCUCUCCCCCCCUCCUUUCCUUCUCUCUCUGUGAUGAGGGGCUGAGGCUGUGGGUGAGGGUCUGUGUCCAGUCUGAAGCUGGGGAAGCUAAAGGUGGUGCGGCGGCAGCUGCUGCAGAGGUAUGAGCACCAGCCGUUUGUGUCAUGUCUGGCUGGUCUAUACGGCUGUCAAUGGAGACGCUACCAGAGGGCCAAGUCACAGCCCGGGGAGAGCUGCUGCAGCAGGGUGGAGUGUGGGAGCGUGGUUUUCCUGGUCCUGACCUUCCU